rnacentral:rRNA from 1 species
AUUGAACGCUGGCGGCAGGCCUAACACAUGCAAGUCGAACGAGUGGCGGACGGGUGAGUAAUGUCUGGGAAUCUGCCUGAUGGAGGGGGAUAACUACUGGAAACGGUAGCUAAUACCGCAUACCAUCGGAUGUUCCCAGAUGGGAUUAGCUAGUAGGUGGGGUAACGGCUCACCUAGGCGACGAUCCCUAGCUGGUCUGAGAGGAUGACCAGCCACACUGGAACUGAGACACGGUCCAGACGCCUACGGGAGGCAGCAGUGGGGAAUAUUGCACAAUGGGCGAAAGCCGGAUGCAGCCAUGCCGCGUGUAUGAAGAAGGACUUCGGGUUGUAAAGUACUUUCAGCGGGGAGGCGUUACCCGCAGAAGAAGCACCGGCUAACUCCGUGCCAGCAGCCGCGGUAAUAC